rnacentral:rRNA from 1 species
UACUGGAUAGGCAAUUAUUCCUGUAAUGGUUUUUUGUUUAAAUGUUUUUUCGCCUAAGGAUGGGUCUGCGGCCGAUUAGGUAGUUGGUUAGGUAAUGGCUUACCAAGCCUUUGAUCGGUACGGGUUGUGAGAGCAAGAGCCCGGAGAUGGAACCUGAGACAAGGUUCCAGGCCCUACGGGGUGCAGCAGGCGCGAAACCUCCGCAAUGUGAGAAAUCGCGACGGGGGGAUCCCAAGUGCCAUUCUUAACGGGAUGGCUUUUCAUUAGUGUAAAGAGCUUUUGGAAUAAGAGCUGGGCAAGACCGGUGCCAGCAG